AAACCAAUAACUCCUGGUGACUUCCUGAGCCAUGACACCAUAAUGGCAGGCUGGAGCAGGAAGGUCGAGAGCCUGGUGCUACAGGACCUGCUGGCAGGGCCCUCUGGCUUACGUACGUGUAAAUAAAUCUAUAGUGUAAAAAUAGAGGGAGGGUUCCUCCCGCACCCCCACAAGAUUUCUUCACUUUUCAAAGACUUCGGGACACCUGCAUCCAUGCAGAAUGAGAACCCGUGUGGCAGUGAGGCAGCCACCUGCUUUGUCUGCCGUGUCUCCUCAUUGUAGGGAGAGGGACAAGGUACCUGCCAGUGGACUGCGCAGGUCGGGCAUUUUAUUGUGGCUAUCUUGUCUGUCCCCUUACUCGGGGCUACAAAGCAAAGCUAGAAAGGCCAGGCCACGGAUGCCAGUCCCAGACUGACCAUAUAUGCACUGUGUGUAGACUGUUAUAUAACCCAAUCAGGCCACCCUUAUGACUGUACACUCACUGUGUGUGGGCUGUUAUAUAAUCAAAUCAGGUCACCCUCGUGACUGUACACUCAGUGUGUGUGCGCGUGUGCAAAAGUGGUUAUAUAAUCCAAUCAGGUCACUGUCAUGACUAUAUAUAUACUCAUUGUGUAUAAGGCUGUUUAUAUAAUCAACUCAGGUCACCCUUGUGACCAUAUUCUCACUAUGUGUAGGCUGUUAUAUAAUCCAAUCAGGUCUCACUUAUGAUUGUACACUCACUGUGUGUGUGCGUAAAAGCUAUUAAAUAAUCAAACCAGA